GAUGAACGCUGGCGGCGUGCUUAACACAUGCAAGUCGAACGGAAAGGCUCCUGCUUGCCGGGGUACUCGAGUGGCGAACGGGUGAGUAACACGUGGGUGAUCUGCCCUGCACUUCGGGAUAAGCCUGGGAAACUGGGUCUAAUACCGGAUAGGACGAUGGUUUGGAUGCCAUUGUGGAAAGUUUUUGCGGUGUGGGAUGAGCUCGCGGCCUAUCAGCUUGUUGGUGGGGUAAUGGCCAACCAAGGCGUCGACGGGUCGCCGGCAUGAGAGGGUGUACGGCGACAUGGGGCCUGCGAGACGGAGCAGACGGCUACGGGAGGCAGUGGUCGAGAAUAUGGCACAGUGAGCGCACGCGUGAUGUAGCGACGCCGCGUGCGGAAUGACGGGCUUCGGGUGAUGAACAACUGUCUCAGUGGACGAGGACGUCGUGACGGUACCUGGUGAGAAAGCACCGGCUAACUACGUG
rnacentral:rRNA from 1 species